ensembl:lncRNA
CUUAUUUAGGUUGCACUUUGUACAUAGUUUUUCAGUAUGAGCACUGAAGGCAGAUUUUCUUUCUGCUGAUGUGCUGUUAAAGAUUCUCCAAGGGAAGGACUCAGCCAUGCAUGACUGCUGUAAAAGCAAGGAAUUUUGAGACAUGAAACGGAAAAAGGUGGGUUGAAGAAAGGGUGGAACAGGACAGCAUGAAAUCAGCAGUCUGUUUGACCAGAGGCAAGAGCUACAAGCAAAUCUGAUGUGAGCAAGGUUUGUAUGAGGAAGAAAGAUGAACGUAAAAGCUUGAACCUUUGGAAUUUUUUAGGAUCAGUGUGGUCCCUCUGCUUCAGCACCUGUGCCCCCUCUCAGAAGGAGCAGUGCUAACCUACCAGAGUCCACAUACUGUAAAGUUGGGACAUCCAUUGAAUCCAAUGUUCUUGGUUCUGAAGACCCUUGGACCCACCUAGCAUGGCUAUAGACUUUGAGGUCUGGCACUCAUUGGGAUAUCUGUGGACAACAUUCCACUUCACAGGACUAAAGGAGGGUGGGAGUCACUGUGCCAUUAAUCGUAAACUGCAAGAAGCUCAGGCCCUCUGCGUAUCUCAGCUCACUGAGAGUUUCUGCAAGCUAAAAAGAAAAAAAAGAACAACCCCCAAACAAAACUGUAAACGAAAUGAAGGAAGUGGAGGCAGCUUCAAGCUUCAGCUUACUGCAGUACCCUCGGAUUUGAUCAGCUUAAUAUGUGACUCUGAGGAUAUGCUGAGUGAAAAGGAAAGAUCUAUAUGCUGAAAGAGGACGACACUGGAAAGGGAAAAAUUUAUACACUGGAAGAAGCAUGAAGCCAAAAGGAUUUCAGAAAUUAUUCAAAAAACACUAUAAAUUUUAAUACCAAAUAAGAGUUAUGUAAACUUUUGAACCAGCCUAUAAAACUCAAUAGAACAGUAUGACAGCACUAAACGGGUAAUGGAUUCAAUUUCUUGUUAAAGUUUUCUUUUCCCACAAGAAAAUAAAAUGCACCAUUUUGAAAGAUCCUGGAAGAUGAAGUGAUCAGCUGGUUGACCUAAGAUGACAAACUAGUUCCUUUCCACGUAUGAUUUUGAUGCUCUGCAAAUAUCCUAGUAAAUGCUGGCCCCAGAAAGUGGUUCACUCAGUCUGUUACACACUUUGACAGGUUAUAUAGCAGUUAAUAAUUAAGUGAAAGGAAGUUCUGUAUAAAAAAAUCUGCCAUCAUAUACGAAAUAUGUAUGUUCCAACUCUCUAUGUAGAGUCCACUGGUGUGGCUAUAAGUGGUAUCUUUGCUGACCAAUAGCACUGCUGGCAAACUAUCAGGUAAUUGUAAGUAUGUAUUUACCAGAGAAAAAAAGACCGGUUUACGUGCUUCUGUUUGUGAGACACAGUUGUGGCUGUACUGCUCUGCUGUGCUGAGCCCAGAUCCUCUAUCUUGCUGUAGGAUAAGCCUGGUUCUACCUAUAUCUAGGCAGAAAUUUGUUUAAAAGAGUCACAUGAAGAAUCCAUGUUCUUUAGUCAUUUAUAUAGUUUGUCAGAACAAGAUUUAAAUAUUGUCAGUCAUCUUGAAUUAUAACUAGUUUACAGCUUGUGCUCUGAACCCAUCCAUCCUUUUGAUCUUUUUACCUUAAGAAUGCAACUAUGUGGGAAAUAACUUUAAAGUGAAUGAUACACAUCUGACAGACUUUAAGGAAAAAUAAGUAAGAAUUCAGAAACAUUCCAUGUAAAGAAAAAAAAAUGUACCUUUUUAGAAAUGAACUGUUGUGCUCAUUCAUUGCAGAAUUUAAGUAAGAGUAAUGUUUUACCUCCUUCUUAGCAGCAAAGAAGCAACAUCAGAUGAGGGAGACGUAUCUGCACAUUUUUACAUCUCACAAAUAAUCAGCAGGUUAGAGACAAUAAAACAACUUACCUAAAAUAGAAUACUGGAAGGUUUAAGGUGUCUAUGUUGAAACUGUUACUGCGUUCAGUGCCUGCCCAACCAGAGUGUCAUUUAAACAUAACUGUCUUCCAUGUUUGCUCUGAAUCUUUUUGAGAUCACACAGUAUUCUGUUUCUGACCAUUCGCAGAAGGGCUCAGGGUGAAGCGGGCAUGUACCUCUGUCUGACUUAAACAGUCUGGGAAUCCAGAAGAUAAAUGGUAGUGUUAGCUUAUAGCACAGACCUGGAAAGUGCACUCAGACAAACGUAGUAUAUGCCAAUAAAACUGGAAACCUUUCAGAAGGAGACAACUUUUUACAUCUGCUUUGACCUCAGGUAUUUUAAACUCUAAUUUCUGAGGAGGCACACCUUACCCACUGGGUCCCAGGCUAGUCUACAUAGCUGUACAGAUGUGCACUACAACUGCAAAACUCAUUAAGAUUCAAGGAGAUAAAUGAGGAAGGAAACAAUUUUUAUGGAGCAAGCAGGAUUCUGGCCUUUGUCUUUGCCCCACACAGUUUGUAUGUCUAUUUUUCAGUAAAUAGUAGAACUAAGAAUAAUCCUAUGUUCCAUUAUUAACAUCUCAUCUUCAACAGUGGUUAUGUUUUUUUAAAAAAACGGAGCCUUUGAAACAAAAAUUGAAUUACCUUGAUGGUCUGUGGACACUGAGUGGAUGGAAAUAACCACAGUCUUCCACUGUGACAGAGUGCCUCAACUACAUAGGUUGGCAUUAUCUGACUUUCAAAAUUAUGAGUUAGAUUCUAGAUAACUCCAUAAUGUUUCUACUUUGUUAGUCCUCUCACAUAACAUCAUCUGUUCUCUGUAGGUAACAGCUCUCUAAUCUUGGCUUUGGAUUCUACUUUGUGGGCUAGAUGUCUGAAACCAUUGUGAGGGUCUGUGAGCACCUCUACACCUUUCUGGAACAUCCUGUGGGGAACAAGAGUUCUAAUUGAAGCACUUAAGACGUGCUCAGCACUUUUGCUUUAACUACUUUUGUCAUUUGUCUUUCUGGCAUCUCUAGAGUUCAUUGAAAUUUCUCUUGUAAUUCCUGAAAGUUUAAUUUGGACCUCAGUCUCCCCAAGGAAAUAUUGCUAAAGGUCAGAAGUAGGCUUAAAUCAUAAAGUUUCCAGGAGAGGGAAUCUAGGAAUUUCUCUCAGUUCCAUCUUUAACACUGUAGUAGAAGCCAGUGACAACAGGGCUUUGUAUUCCAGAUAUCAGACUGAGAAUGUGGUCUUGGCAUGUUGAAUAAUGUAAUUUGUGUACAUAUAAGCAAAGAAAAUAUUGAUAGUGAAAUAAUUAUGAAUAUAUAAAUGUGAGACAGUAGGAAGCCAUGUUUAAAGGCAUUUUUCAGUUUAUAACCACACUUUUAAGAAUUUCCUGUCUUUUCUUUUAGCCAGACACAUGGGAUUAUUUUAGCGUACUUUUAUUUGUGUGUUGUUUCCUUUACAUUUUUGUUUGAGCAGAAGAGGAUGGGAAUAAAAAUGCAGUCUUCAACAAAGUUUUACAAAGUUUAUGAUUCUAGGCUGUAGUAAUUCCCCUAUGUACACUUAAAACAAUAAUAAAAAUGCAAGCACCAUAUUUUGAAAAGUUAUUAUGACUUAUUAUGUAAACAGAUGAUGAUAAAACAUUCUGAGUUAUUAUUCAAACACAAUACAUCAUAAUUGUUUCUUUGGAGACACUAUAUAUUUCUGUCAUGGGCUUUACUUACAGGAUUCUUUGUAAAACCUUCAUAAAGGUAAUUACUUUGUAUUCCCAUCAUCACAUUUCAAAAAUAGUGAUCUCAGCCUCUGAACAUGUAAACUCUGAAACAAAAGAAGAGUCCUAUUGUCUUCUUGUGUAAACAAAGCUUGUUUACAAGGUUGGGCCUUCCAACACUAAGCCUUACUCUCAAUACACAUGAUUAUACAGGUUUUCUAGAUAUAAAUGUGAACUCACAGAUGGUGGUUUCAGGCCACUUAAUCUUAAUAAGCUAGUUUAUUUGAUGAAAAACUUAGGAGCUGACUUUGUAUUUUUAACAUAUUUAUGGGAAAUGGAGAAUGAGUAUCUGAAGUUGAUAACUUCCCUUUGCAAAUUCUGGUUGAUACACAGGGCUUAACAAAUAUAGGUAGUAUCUUAUUCCACACUGAAUGGAAUAAAAAAUCACUUGUCUUUUGUUAAUAUAAAGUUCAUAAUUAAAUUAUUCUUGAAAUACUGUCAGACAUUUCAGCAAAAGAACAAAAAACAAAAGUUCUAUUUAGUGUGGAUUGGUGUUGUGAUAUACUUAAUAUCUACUUCAACAUUGAAUUAAAAGAUUCAGAAAUCUAUCAUAAUAUGCUUCAAAAAAAGAUCAAAGACAAUGAAUAAAGUUGGCAGAAUAUGUUUGCUUUUACAUGGAAAUUACUGAAAUAAAAGAUUAAAAUAUGUAUUGAUAUUUACUAGCACUAUUUUCCACUGAAGUAAAUGGGUAAACUCUUGGGCUUGAUAUUUCUAAGCCCUUGCUGGUUUGAUACUCCAUGUCUUCUUACUUGCAUUGAUACAAAUAUAGGAAGUACCUAUAGAUUGCAUAAAUGUUGAUCAUAAGUGUUGUUUCAGGAUGAAAUGUAUUGUCUGUUUCUGUGAAGCUAAUGGCUUUUUGGUCACACAGCUUAAAGUGAUGUGAAGAUUGUCAUGUUUGUCAUGAAGAUUGUCAAGUUUGUCAUUACUUCUGAACUCCCAAAAUAAAUUGAAAUAAAUAAAGGUUUUUCUUCUAAAUCAGAGGAUGGUUCUUACUUAUUUAGUAUGAUGAUCUGUAAAAUGUCAUCAAAUGCACUGUAAAGAGAGGGAAUUGAUGGCAAAUCCUUACUAAGAUGUUGCAAAGUAAGUAGGAGGGAAGGAUCCUUGUGUUUAGAAGGACAGUUUUUUAUUUACACGCACACGUAUAUGUUUUGAGGUUACUAAAGAACACCCAGCUAUAUCUUCAACUUCAGUUAGCAGGAGUUUCUAUUACAUUUUAACACAGGAUGGGUGAGAAAAUGUUUCAUUUUAUACGCAUGUGUAUACACACAGACAUUCCAAAAGACACAAACCAUUUCAGAAAUGACAGUUUCCUCGCUGUCCAAUUAGGUGAAUUGAAUGUGAUUAUGUUGUAGUUCUCAGGGCUCUAAUUGCACAUAAAAACUUCCAAAUCACAACACGUGGUAUUUCCAUCCAAAACAAAGGGAGAAUUAUUAAAAUGUGGUGGGAUUUCAUGUAACACUGGCAGACAGCUU